GCUCUUCUCACCGCCGCCGCCACGACCACGCUCUGCACUCCCGCUCCCAACGCCCCGGCCCGAGUGGCGUAGCUUGGACGCCGCGGCCGCCGCCGCCUCCCCUCCUUGCCCCCACGCUACUCUCCCCUACACGCCGCUACCGCCGCCGCCGCUGCCGUCGGCAGGUCUCGCGAGAGGAGAUAGUUCUCGCCCAGCUCAGUUUUCCCUCCCCUUGCCUGUCCCCCACACGCUCGCUAAGGGAGACGUGGCGAGCGCAACGCUGGAACUCGGAGAGGUCUCGCCCUUAGCCACGCCCCCAAAACAAAGCCACGUCCCUAACUCCUCCCCUAGGGCCCCGCCCCUGGCCCCGCCGCCUUCCUCCACCGCUCAGUUUACCCGCGCCCCAAGCCAGAUUCCGGGCGUCGGCCUGUAGGAUCCCAGCGAAGGCUUCCCGGCGUAGCAGCGGCCGCGGGCAGUUCUGGCUGUGACUGGGGUCCCAGCUAUUCAGAGAAGAGCUGACUUGCUUGCCCUCUCCUCUCUUCCAUCUCUACCCUAGCUGUCCUGCCCUCUCGAUUAAUUGCCCUAGUUUAACGUGUUGCCUUAGGUUCUGGAUCCGCUCCUCCAGUCCCCGUAUUUUGGAAACAAGUGUCACUUAGAAUAGGGGGUGGGGAGAUGUGGGUUGUAGUUGCGUUUGCAAAGCGAUGUUUACUAUUAAAAGAUUGGAAUCUACCCUGUGCCCAUUUUGCAGAUGAGGAUUUCCCCAAGCCCUUACAGAUGGCGCCCUACCCAUUCCAGAGCUGCUAAUUAUAGCCACCAACCCAGGCAGUAGGCUGAGACCUUUAUUGCUUUGUGUCAUUUAAUCGUCAGUAAACCCCAUGGAAUAAAGCAAAGUGUGUCCGCUCUACAAAUGAGAAAAUUGAGGCUCAGAGAGACUGCCCAAGGUCCCUCACAGUUAGAGAAUGCCUGAGGAGUCAAACCCAUAUCAUUUUGACGCCACAAAGCCAGUGUGCCCUUGACCCUGCAUCGCCCAGGACCUUAACAUUUCGUACAGUGGUUGGCAUUCUGCCCAUUCUGAAACGCAGGCUGUGGACAAGAACCUGCGUUUCAGGCUGGACGGUGACGGGAGCAGUCGCUCUCCAGAGCCCCUCCCUCCCCUGGCUGAGGGACCCUAGAGGCUGGUGUCAGUUGAGUUGGGUACUGGGCUUAUGCCCAGAUCUUGGAACGGCCCCCCGGUCCAGCGGCAGCUGUGGCUACGGUGAAAAAAUAAAACCAAGAAAUGAAGGGAAGAUUGAACUAUGA
rnacentral:lncRNA from 13 species